GACGAACGCUGGCGGCGUGCUUAACACAUGCAAGUCGAACGGUGAAGCUCCAGCUUGCUGGAGUGGAUCAGUGGCGAACGGGUGAGUAACACGUGAGCAACCUGCCCCUGACUCUGGAAUAAGCGCUGGAAACGGCGUCUAAUACUGGAUACGAGAAGGGUCCGCAUGGGCACUUUCUGGAAAGUUUUUCGGUUGGGGAUGGGCGCGCGGCCUAUCAGCUUGUUGGUGAGGUAAUGGCUCACCAAGGCGGCGACGGGUAGCCGGCCUGAGAGGGCGACCGGCCACACUGGGACUGAGACACGGCCCAGACUCCUACGGGAGGCAGCAGUGGGGAAUAUUGCACAAUGGGCGAAAGCCUGAUGCAGCGACGCCGCGUGAGGGAUGACGGCCUUCGGGUUGUAAACCUCUUUCAGCAGGGAAGAAGCGAUAGUGACGGUACCUGCAGAAGAAGCACCGGCUAACUACGUG
rnacentral:rRNA from 1 species